rnacentral:lncRNA from 1 species
AUGAUUGUGAUGUUUAUCUCCUUCUUCUCUGCAGCCAAGCCCAGCAAAAGAAUGGCACAGAGCAGUUGCUGCCCAAGCCUGGGUGCUCCUGGUGUUCCUGUGCAGACUGGCUGUGCAGUAUGGUUGUCGUGGGGAGAACCCUCCUUGGCCUCUCCUGGUGCAGGCUCCACGCUGUCGAAAUGGUAACAUACUAAAGGUACUCACUCUUCUGUACCUUCACAGUACAAGUACCCAAUACCCC